UGACACAAUCUCCCAGGAAAACCUGACCACUCCACGGUGGCUUGACAUUUUUAUUUGCUUUAGUUUUCGUGUGAGCAGCUGGAUUCAUUUAGUCUGAGGCUGACGCUUGGAAUUGUGGGUAAUGGUUUGUUGUUACGUUAUGAUCCGAGUCUCCAGGUGGAUGGAACGUUAGCAUAGACAUGUGUGGAAGACAGCCAGCUUGUCUGGCAGCAUCUCUGGCUGCUGUUGACCUUGUUUUUGGAGUAAGACACGGUGGAAGCUGAAUUAGUGAGGAUGACUCCUGCUCCUGUCAUCUCUAAGCUCCUCACACAUCUUUACCUGCACGUGAGGAAAAUCCCUCCUGUAGAAUGCAGAUGUUCAGAGGGAGAUGAUGCCACAUCUGGUCCAGCCGAUGGAAGGUCUUGAAGUUCUCUGUGGAUGGUCCUCUCACUGGAUUUAAGGUUCAGAUGCUCAGGAACAAACUGAGGCGAUUAUUAAAUGUUGCUACGAAGGUAUCGCUGUUUUUCUUUGUGAAUGCAAAGUGCUCCAACUGAAACUUGAAUUAGAACUUGGAAGUAAAUCCUUCCAUCUGAAAGGAUCUAGUUGCAUUAAUAACCUCAGAACGUUCUAAUUUUUAUUCCAGUCUUGGUUGGAAAUAGAAUCCCUGUAUUGAUUCAGGUAAAAACUGAACUUCACAGCAUGUUGGAGCAAAACAAGCAGAUGAAAAGUGUGAUGGUGUUGGAUUGUCAGACCGUAAUGUUGCAGCUCAAAGCAGCUUUUCUAUCUCACUUCAUUCUGACAUUCAGCUCUGAAUCAACAGCAGAUCCAGUUGAUGGUGAUCCAUGCUGUGGAAGUGUCACGUCUCCUCAUUUAAAUACACUGUUUAUUCACCAACACUUUAUUUAAUAAAAGUCCCAUUUAGUUUUUAUGAGGAAUGUGAUGUUUUAAUUUCUCUGUGAAUAACUGCAGUCUGGUGGAACAGCUGGAGUUGUAACAUCUGUCCUGAUAUUGAUCAUGAAGUAUUGAUCAGAAUACUUUUGGUUAGCUGU